rnacentral:rRNA from 1 species
CUCGUAGUUGGAUUUCUGGUGGGAGCGAUCGGUCUGGCGCUUAGCGCGAGUACUUGCAUCGUCUCCGGCCAUCCUUGGGGAGAGUUUGUCUGGCAUUAAGUUGUCGGGCAGAGGAUCCUCAUCGUUUACUGUGAAAAAAUUAGAGUGUUCAAAGCAGGCUUAUGCCGUUGAAUAUAUUAGCAUGGAAUAAUAAGAUAGGACUUUGGUACUAUUUUGUUGGUUUGCGCACCAAAGUAAUGAUUAAUAGGGACAGUUGGGGGUAUUCGUAUUCCGUUGUCAGAGGUGAAAUUCUUGGAUUUACGGAAGACGAACUACUGCGAAAGCAUUUACCAA